UGAAAAGGCAGGCCAGCAUGGCCUUCUCUGGACACAAUCCAGGAGCUGGCCAGAGAUGAGGAUGGUACUGGGGAAGAUAGCAGAAAAUGACGGAGAGAGAGGUAGAGAAUGUGACGGAACAUGGACAUUAUGAUUGAAGAACAUUAAAACCAGAAAACAUCCUGAUCUUCUGAAGAUAAGCUACACAGAGUAAAUCUGGUACUGCAAGCCUCCCUGGUCUAAUUCUCCAGCCCAAAGAAGGUGACACUAUGAAGACUUAUGAAGACUGUGGAUGGCAAAUCUGAUGCUUGGAGAAGAAAGGAAACCUGAACAGCAUUUCAUGUAAAGGUAAGAGCUGGUUUAUCGUUUUACAACCAGAGAAAGAAGCCUCAACAGACCUCCCCCACCCCACUCUCCCCCACCCCCUCAGGACUGAAGGAACACGUCUUGCUGUGGCUGGUCAAACGGAACCAAGUCAGGCGUUUCAGUGAGGUUUGGUCCCCUUCAACCAGCUACUGCGCCGUGAACUGAGCCAGCAGGAGACUCUGGAGAGCAACACAGAACUCUGAAAUACAAGUGACAGCUGAUGUAUUAGUGUCCUUAAAUAAUGCAACAGUAUGUUUUUUUCCCCCCAUACACAGUCUUAAUGAGGCUCUAGAAAAGAUUUUUGGCUCAGGGCUCCCUUUGCUAUCUCAGUGGGAUUUUUUUUCCCUGGCUACAUAAUUCUGGACAAGGGACCAAACCACCUAGGAUAUGGCCACUCAUGAAAGCUCACUGGGUCAUAAAACAUCACUAUGAAGGCGAGAAUGAUGAAGAGACAGGACAAGGAACCACUCUGGUAGGUUUUGUUUCUGAAAUCAUAUCCAAGAUCAAUGUCAUCAGUGAGAAUAGCCCUUACACCAGCUCUUCCAGCGAGACAGGGAGUAUUGUCCUGCUAGAACAGUUUCAGUUCAGCCUCACUCCCACUAUUCUGUGGUGACAUCUGGUCUUCAAGCUCCUGUCUGCACAUGAGGGGAAGGGAUGAACAGUCAUACUCAUCUAACCCCCCCAUCUGUUAGAGACUCCAUGUUUAGACUCCAAACCCCACUGUGUUCAGGCCCCACCAGUCACAUUACCCAAGCUUGAAGGCUUAAACAUGCAUCCAGGCCAGAACUAAGACUGCACCUGCAGUGAGAUUGAGUCAUGCCAGUCUAAAAGUCAAAUUUUCUUCUAGGCCAGUGUAGUCUUACAACUGAAGAUUUCUCUGAAGGCAUUUUUACUUCUAGUUGUUCAUGAAUCCAUAAUCAUUUGUCUUACUGUACAUUUUUUUUAAAUAAAGAUCAACUGUUUAACAGUCA